rnacentral:rRNA from 1 species
UCCAGACUCCUACGGGAGGCAGCAGUGGGGAAUAUUGCACAAUGGGGGAAACCCUGAUGCAGCGACGCCGCGUGAGUGAAGAAGUAUUUCGGUACGUAAAGCUCUAUCAGCAGGAAAGAAAAUGACGGUACCUGACUAAGAAGCCCCGGCUAACUACGUGCCAGCAGCCGCGGUAAUACGUAGGGGGCAAGCGUUAUCCGGAUUUACUGGGUGUAAAGGGAGCGUAGACGGCAGCGCAAGUCUGGAGUGAAAUGCCGGGGCCCAACCCCGGAACUGCUCUGGAAACUGUGAAGCUGGAGUGCAGGAGAGGUAAGCGGAAUUCCUGGUGUAGCGGUGAAAUGCGUAGAUAUCAGGAGGAACACCGGCGGCGAAGGCGGCUUACUGGACUGUAACUGACGUUGAGGCUCGAAGGCGUGGGGAGCAAACAGGAUUAGAUACCCCCGUAA